rnacentral:rRNA from 1 species
AGCGAACGCUGGCGGCAGGCUUAACACAUGCAAGUCGAACGCACCUUUCGGGGUGAGUGGCGGACGGGUGAGUAACACGUGGGAACGUGCCCUCUAGCUCGGAAUAACCCAGGGAAACUUGGGCUAAUACCGGAUAAGCCCUUCGGGGAAAGAUUGAUCGCUAGAGGAUCGGCCCGCGUCUGAUUAGCUAGUUGGUAGGGUAAUGGCCUACCAAGGCGACGAUCAGUAGCUGGUCUGAGAGGAUGAUCAGCCACACUGGGACUGAGACACGGCCCAGACUCCUACGGGAGGCAGCAGUGGGGAAUAUUGGACAAUGGGCGCAAGCCUGAUCCAGCCAUGCCGCGUGAGUGAUGAAGG